rnacentral:tRNA from 1 species
GGCCCAAUAGUAUAGUCGCAUUAUACUCCCUUCGGGACAUCGACGUUCUCUCAGGGGAGCCCUGAAUUGGGAGAGGUCCCGGGUUCAAUUCCCGGUUGGGCCC